rnacentral:rRNA from 1 species
AUGAAGCCGAUGGACCUAGCGGCGCUGCCGCCGCCGGAUCCGACGAAAACGUCGUGGCCGGAGCUGGUAGGCUACAACUCCUUCGCCGCCGGGUUAUUGAUCGUCUACGACAGGCCCGACUUGCACGUCGACUUCUUCCCCGUCCCCCAGGAUCCGGGGUUUGGGGAGCCCAAUCGCGUCGUCGCCUUGACCGACGGUCACAACAUGGUCGUCUACCCACCAUGGGAAGGCUAG